GACGAACGCUGGCGGCGUGCUUAACACAUGCAAGUGGAGCGACGAACCAGGCUUCGGCCUGGGGCAAAGCCGCGAACGGGUGAGUAACACGUGGGUAACCUGCCCCGAUGAUCGGGACAACCCGGGGAAACCCGGGCUAAUACCGGAUGUGCUCCCGCCACACCAGUGGCGGGUGGAAAGGAAGCUUCGGCCUCCGCAUCGGGAGGGGCCCGCGGCCCAUUAGCUUGUUGGUGGGGUAACGCCUACCAAGGCAACGAUGGGUAGCUGGUCUGAGAGGACGAUCAGCCACACUGGGACUGAGACACGGCCCAGACUCCUACGGGAGGCAGCAGUGGGGAAUCUUGCGCAAUGCGCGAAAGCGUGACGCAGCAACGCCGC
rnacentral:rRNA from 1 species